rnacentral:rRNA from 1 species
AGUGAACGCUGGCGGUAGGCCUAACACAUGCCAGUCGAACGGCAGCACAGUAAGAGCUUGCUCUUACGGGUGGCGAGUGGCGGACGGGUGAGGAAUACAUCGGAAUCUACUUUUUCGUGGGGGAUAACGUAGGGAAACUUACGCUAAUACCGCAUACGACCUACGGGUGAAAGCAGGGGAUCUUCGGACCUUGCGCGAUUGAAUGAGCCGAUGUCGGAUUAGCUAGUUGGCGGGGUAAAGGCCCACCAAGGCGACGAUCCGUAGCUGGUCUGAGAGGAUGAUCAGCCAAUCUGGAACUGAGACACGGUCCAGACUCCUACGGGAGGCAGCAGUGGGGAAUAUUGGACGAUGGGCGCAAGCCUGAUCCAGCCAUACCGCGUGGGUGAAGAAGGCCUUCGGGUUGUAAAGCCCUUUUGUUGGGAAAGAAAAGCAGCAGGUUAAUACCCCGCUGUUCUGACGGUACCCAAAGAAUAAGCACCGGCUAACUUCGUG